rnacentral:rRNA from 1 species
UAAAGUUGUUGCAGUUAAAAAAGCUCGUAGUUGGAUUUUUAGAGUGUAUUGAUAUGGUCUCUUGUGAUAAACUUGUUGUACUGUGUCAAUUACUCUUUCCUACUGGUUACUCGACUCUGUUCUUUAUUGCAUGGAGUAGUGUCGCAAGGCAUCGCUUAGUAUUUUAUUGCUUUUAGAUGUAGUAAUUGGGUAAAACUGGUUAUGAAACCUAAGGGAUCACAGUAAAGUAUUAAGUGGGGUUCCAGUUCAUUUACUUUGAGUAAAUUAGAGUGUUCAAAGCAGCCUGUAUGGGCAUUGAAUAGAUUAGCAUGGGAUAAUAGAAUAGGAUUCUUAUCUAUUUAUUGGUUUAUAGAUUUAGAAUAAUGAUUAAUAGGGAUAGUUGGGGGCACUUGUAUUCAAUAGUCAGAGGUGAAAUUCUAGGAUUUAUUGAAGACAAACUUCAGCGAAAGCAAUUUGCCAAGGAUGUUUCAUUAAUCAAGAACGAAAGUUAGGGGAUCGAAGACGAUUAGACACCGUCGUAGUCUUAACUAUAAACUAU